UGGGAACGCGAAGAACCUUACCAGGGCUUGACAUCCUACUAAUGAAGCAGAGAUGCAUUAAGUGCCCUUCGGGGAAAGUAGAGACAGGUGGUGCAUGGUUGUCGUCAGCUCGUGUCGUGAGAUGUUGGGUUAAGUCCCGCAACGAGCGCAACCCCUAUUGUUAGUUGCUACGCAAGAGCACUCUAGCGAGACUGCCGUUGACAAAACGGAGGAAGGUGGGGACGACGUCAAAUCAUCAUGCCCCUUAUGUCCUGGGCCACACACGUAAUACAAUGGCGUUAAACAGAGGGAUGCUAAGCCGUGAGGUGGAGCGAACCCCUAAAAGGCGUCUCAGUUCGGAUUGCAGGCUGCAACUCGCCUGCAUGAAGUCGGAAUCGCUAGUAAUCGCGGAUCAGCAUGCCGCGGUG
rnacentral:rRNA from 1 species